rnacentral:rRNA from 1 species
AGGGACUGCCGGCGACAAGUCGGAGGAAGGUGGGGAGUGACGUCAAAUCAUCAUGCCCCUUAUGACCUGGGCUACACACGUGCUACAAUGGGCGGUACAAAGGGCUGCGAACCCGCGAGGGGGAGCGAAUCCCAAAAAGCCGCUCUCAGUUCGGAUUGCAGGCUGCAACUCGCCUGCAUGAAGCCGGAAUCGCUAGUAAUCGCGGAUCAGCAUGCCGCGGUGAAUACGUUCCCGGGCCUU